AGAGUUUGAUCAUGGCUCAGAUUGAACGCUGGCGGCAGGCUUAACACAUGCAAGUCGAGCGGGGAAAGGUAGCUUGCUACCUGACCUAGCGGCGGACGGGUGAGUAAUGCUUAGGAAUCUGCCUAUUAGUGGGGGACAACAUCUCGAAAGGGAUGCUAAUACCGCAUACGUCCUACGGGAGAAAGCAGGGGACCUUCGGGCCUUGCGCUAAUAGAUGAGCCUAAGUCGGAUUAGCUAGUUGGUGGGGUAAAGGCCUACC
rnacentral:rRNA from 1 species